CUUCCACGUUAAUAAGGAGUUGGUGGACACUUUCAUCAGACCGGAAAGUGUGUCCGUGUCAGAGGCCACGGCCAGUGCAAGAAAAGACGUUUGACGGUGGAAGGAAACGACAUCGAGGUUUGUCAGAUAACGUUGGGGCAGCAAGGAUAUGCUGAUCACACCAUCGGAUUGCCGACACUAUGCAACGAUGGAAGUGUCCUGGGGUGGCAGUUCUGGUGACAGCUGUAACCAAACAGAAGGGAGGUCUGCACAGGUCCGUCUCAACGAAAAUUGAGGCCUCUCCUGCAAUGUGUUCAAUCAUCUGCCGAUGUAUCAGUAUCUAGUGUGCUGCCAAGAGAGAAAUGAUAUCGUCGAGUGUUCCACGUGGUGGCGUACACAGGCCUUCCGUUCAAGCGGCAGGGGCGAAAAUUAGAGAUAAAUCUGGGCAUACACACCCCCUUCCUGCACCCCUUCAGAUACGCAGGUGGUUCCAGGGCAACGUCGUAAAACAGUGUCAUGGCUGCCCAAAAUAUCGGAUGGACAGCAGCCGGGCCAGAUGUAAGCAAGGGAUACUCUGCCCAAACCUCAUGGGCUUGAAAGGGAAGCAUCUAAGCGCAAGAUGGGAAAAUCUAAAGUGAGCAGAUUUAUACGGCCAGCAUCAUGUUGCCCCCCCCCCCCCCCACCUCGAGCUCCCUUAAUACUGCCUACGAGUUACGACAAUCUGCCAGUUUGAAGAUCCAGCAAAAAAUCAGGCCAGGAAUUCCUUUUUGCCGAUCAUACACCAAUCCGAUUCGACUAGUGUUCGUAUUUUGAUUCGUAUGAUACUAAACGCGUAUUUAAGCCAUCUCGCGUCUUAUAAACCCGAGUUUGAAAGAGCAAAACCUUUGGCUUUGGUAUAUUGUUGAAGUUGAAUUUGAUAUACCUUCAUUAAUUACGAUAACUUCUACCGACAAAAAUUGCUUGAUGUCCCGUUUUGUAGUUGUCAUGGUAGAUGCAGCUGUUUAUGGUUUUAAGCGUUUUACUUUAAACAUAUCUUAAGGCUUUUUAUGAUCAUUUUGUUGUUGUCUAAACCUGCAAUUUGAGUUCUUUAAAAAAGGGAUGAUAAUUGUCUAGCGUUUUAAUAAUAUAUAACUUCUGAUAAUUCCUAUUUGAUUAAUACAUAGACUACUAAAGUAUGUUAUUCACAUAUAAAUGAUACAAGGCCCAUCCAUUCACAGUAGGCAAUGAGUAAAUACGAAUUAGGAAUAUAAUCUCUCACAUCAUAAAGAAAAGACCUG